ACGGCUCAGUAACACGUAGCUAACCUGCCUUUAGGUUAAGGAUAUCCUCGGGAAACUGAGGUUAAUACUUGAUAGGAGAUGAUCUCUGGAAGGAAUUUUCUCUGAAAGGUAACGCCUAAAGAUGGGGCUGCGGCGGAUUAGGUUGUUGGUAGUGUAAAAGACCACCAAGCCUAUGAUCCGUAAGGGCUCUUAGCGGAGAAGCCCUGAGAAGGACUCUGAGACACUAGUCCUAGCUCUACGGGGUGCAGCAGUCAGGUAUCUUUUGCAAUGUACGCAAGUAUGACAAAGCGAACCAGAGUGUUUCUCUUUAUGAGGAACUUUUGCCAGCUGUAAAAAGGCUGGCGAAUAAGGACUGGGCAAGACCGGUGCCAGCCGCCGCGGUAAUCCCGGCGGUCCAAGUCGCAGCCACAUUUAUUGGGUCUAAAACAUCCGUAGCUUGUUUUGUAAGUCUUUUGUGAAAUCUGGCCUCUUAAGGGUUAGGCUUGCACGAGAUACUGCAAAACUAGAGACUGGGGGGCAUGAGGAGUACGAUCAAGGUAGUGGUAAAAUACGUUAAUCUUGAUCGGACUAACAAUUAGCGAAGGCACUUCAUGAUAACAGUUCUGACAGUGAGGGAUGAAGGCUAGGGGCGCAAAAUGGAUUAGAUACCCAUGUAGUCCUAGCAGUAAACACUGCACACUAAACCUCGUGAUCUCCUCGAGAGGCUGCGGGGCUGUAAGGAAGCUGAAGAGUGUGCUACCUGGGAAGUAUAGUCGCAAGGCCGAAACUUAAAGGAAUUGGCGGGGGAGCAC
rnacentral:rRNA from 1 species